rnacentral:rRNA from 1 species
AUCAACUUUCGAUGGUAGGAUAGAGGCCUACCAUGGUGGUAACGGGUAACGGGGUGUUAGGGCACGACACCGGAGAGGGAGCCUGAGAAACGGCUACCACAUCCAAGGAUGGCAGCAGGCGCGCAAAUUACCCAAUCCCGACACGGGGAGGUAGUGACAAUAAAUAACAAUACGGGGUUCUUUCGGAUCUCGUAAUUGGAAUGAGUACAAUUUAAAUCUCUUAACGAGGAACAAUUGGAGGGCAAGUCUGGUGCCAGCAGCCGCGGUAAUUCCAGCUCCAAUAGCGUAUAUUAAAGUUGUUGCAGUUAAAAAGCUCGUAGUUGAAUUUCGGGAUCAGAUUGUCGGUCGUGCCUCGGUACGCACUGGCAUUAUUGGUUCCUACCUUCUGAAGAACCGCGAUGUCAUUAAUUUGGUGUCGUGGGGAAUCAGGACUGUUACUUUGAAAAAAUUAGAGUGUUUAAAGCAGGCUCACGCUUGAAUACAUUAGCAUGGAAUAAUGAAAUAGGACGUUUGAUUCUAUUUUGUUGGUUUCUAGGAUCGACGUAAUGAUUAAUAGGGAUAGUUGGGGGCAUUAGUAUUCAAUUGUCAGAGGUGAAAUUCUUGGAUUUAUUGAAGACUAACUACUGCGAAAGCAUUUGCCAAGGAUGUUUUCAUUAAUCAAGAACGAAAGUUAGGGGAUCGAAGACGAUCAGAUACCGUCGUAGUCUUAACCAUAAACUAUGCCGACUAGGGAUCGGAUGAUGUUAAUUUUUUAAUGACUCAUUCGGCGCCUUACGGGAAACCAAAGUGUUUGGGUUC